rnacentral:rRNA from 1 species
UACGUAGGGGGCAAGCGUUGUCCGGAUUUAUUGGGCGUAAAGAGCGUGUAGGCGGUUUGGUAGGUCCGUUGUGAAAACUCGAGGCUCAACCUCGAGACGCCGAUGGAAACCAUCUGACUAGAGUCCGGAAGAGGAGAGUGGAAUUCCUGGUGUAGCGGUGAAAUGCGCAGAUAUCAGGAAGAACACCCGUGGCUAAGGCGGCUCUCUAGUACGGUACUGACGCUGAGACGCGAAAGCGUGGGGAGCGAACAGG